rnacentral:rRNA from 1 species
UACAGAGGUCUCAAGCGUUGUUCGGAAUCACUGGGCUUAAAGGGCGCGUAGGCGGCGCAGAAAGUUGGGUGUGAAAUCCCUCGGCUCAACCGAGGAACUGCGCCCAAAACUACUGUGCUUGAGGAAGAUAGAGGUAAGCGGAACUUACGGUGGAGCGGUGAAAUGCGUUGAUAUCGUAAGGAACACCUGUGGCGAAAGCGGCUUACUGGGUCUUUUCUGACGCUGAUGCACGAAAGCCAGGGGAGCAAACGGG